AGUCUGGUGCCAGCAGCCGCGGUAAAACCAGCUCCAAUAGCGUAUAUUAAAGUUGUUGCAGUUAAAAAGCUCGUAGUUGGAUAUCUGGUACGAAUGCCUGGCCCGCCUCUCACGAGUGUGUGUGCCGGUGCAAUCGUGCCAUCCUUCUGAGAAGUGCUACUGCGAUUAAGUUCGCGGAAGUGCGACUCGGAUCUUUUACUUUGAAAAAAUUAGAGUGUUCAAAGCAGGCGUUUGCUUGAAUACAUUAGCAUGGAAUAAUAAAAUAGGACUCCGUUCCUAUUUUGUUGGCUUAUAGGUCGGAGUAAUGAUUAAAAGGGACAGUUGGGGGUGCUUGUAUUGAGCGGCCAGAGGUGAAAUUCUUAGAUUCGCUCAAGACAAACUUAUGCGAAAGCAUUCACCAAGGAUGUCUUCUUUAAUCAAGAACGAAAGUUGGGGGAUCGAAGACGAUCAGAUACCGUCGUAGUCUCAACCAUAAACUAUGCCAACUAAGGAUCAGCGGACGUUUUCGGGCUCCGUUGGCACUUUAUGAGAAAUCAAAGUCAUUGGGUUCUGGGGGGAGUCUGGUCGCAAGGCUGAAACUUAAAGGAAUUGACGGAAGGGCACCACAACGGCGUGGAGCCUGCGGCUUAAUUUGACCCAACACGGGGAAAUUUACCAGGUCCGGACAUAGUAAGGAUUGACAGAUUGCAGAUCUUUCUUGAUUCUAUGGAUGGUGGUGCAUGGCCGUUCUUAGUUGGUGGAGUGAUUUGUCUGGUUAAUUCCGUUAACGAACGAGACCUCAGCCUACUAAAUAGUCAGGAUAACACUUGUGUUGUCUAUGACUUCUUAGAGGGACCGUCGGUUUCUAGCCGACUGAAGUGUGAGGCAAUAACAGGUCUGUGAUGCCCUUAGAUGUUCUGGGCUGCACGCGCGCUACACUGUUGCACUCAACAAGCAUCAUCCUUGAUCGACAGGUCUGGGUAAUCUUUGAAAGUGCAACGUGCUGGGGCUAGACCAUUGCAAUUAUUGGUCUUCAACCAGGAAUGCCUAGUAAACGCGGGUCAUCAGCUCGCAUUGAUUACGUCCCUGCCCUUUGUACACACCGCCCGUCGCUCCUACCGAUUGAAUGAUCCGGUAAAAUCUUCGGACUGUGAAGCUAGGGUGGGCAACCACUUUAGUUUUAUGGAAGUUGAUUAAACCUUAUCAUUU
rnacentral:rRNA from 1 species